GACGAACGCUGGCGGCGUGCUUAACACAUGCGAGUCGAACGGAAAGGCCCUGCUUUUGUGGGGUGCUCGAGUGGCGAACGGGUGAGUAACACGUGAGUAACCUGCCCUUGACUUUGGGAUAACUUCAGGAAACUGGGGCUAAUACCGGAUAGGAGCUCCUGCUGCAUGGUGGGGGUUGGAAAGUUUCGGCGGUUGGGGAUGGACUCGCGGCUUAUCAGCUUGUUGGUGGAGUAGUGGCUUACCAAGGCUUUGACAGGUAGCCGGCCUGAGAGGGUGACCGGCCACAUUGGGAUUGAGAUACGGCCCAGACUCCUACGGGAGGCAGCAGUGGGGAAUAUUGCACAAUGGGCGGAAGCCUGAUGCAGCAACGCCGCGUGCGGGAUGACGGCCUUCGGGUUGUAAACCGCUUUCGCCUGUGACGAAGCGUGAGUGACGGUAAUGGGUAAAGAAGCACCGGCUAACUACGUG
rnacentral:rRNA from 1 species